GGACUGAAAAUCCCCGUGUCGGUAGUUCGAUUCUACCUCUGGCCACCA
rnacentral:tRNA from 1 species